GUCUAUGGCCAUACCACCCUGAACGUGCUACUGAUCUUGAAAGCUAAGCAGGGUUGGGCCUCAUUAGUACUUGGAUAGGAGACCUCCUAGGAAUACCGGGUGCUGUAGGCU
rnacentral:rRNA from 1 species